rnacentral:rRNA from 1 species
AUGGCGGCCACGCCGUGGCUGCUUCUUCUCUGCCUCAGCCUCGCCGCCGGAGGCAUACGGCAAGCUCGUGCCCAGCCCAACAGCAAUGGAUUCAUAAGCAUAGACUGCGGACUGCAGGGGGAGGAGGGCUACAUUGACACGGCCACCAAGCUCUCGUACUAUCCAGACACCGGCUUCACCGACGGUGCCGGCACCUGCCGCAACAUUUCGGCCGACUACAUAGGGCCGUCCUUGUGCAAGUGCAUGUAUACCGUCCGCAGCUUCCCAUUCGGCCCGCGGAACUGCUACACGCUCCGUUCCCUCGUGCCCGGGCUCAAGUACCUCAUCCGGACCAAGUUCAUGUACGGCAACUACGACGCCCUCCGCCGGCCGCCCAUCUUUGACCUCCACAUCGGCGUCAACAACUGGCACACCGUGAACAUCUCAAAGCCGCAUGUGGAGAAGUCUGUGGAGGCCAUCCUUGUGGUGCCGGACGACUUCGUACAAGUUUGCCUGAUCAACACCGGCGCCGGGACGCCCUUCAUCUCUUCGCUGGAGCUCAGGCCGCUCAAAACGAUGAUCUACCCGCAGGUGACUGUGACACAGGGGCUCCUGCUCUCUGAGAGGAGCAACUUCGGCCAGAUUGAUGAAAACAAUGUCAUCAGGUACCCCGACGAUACUUAUGACAGAAUAUGGACGCCUGUGGUCAGCUCUGGAACAUAUACUGAGGUAUCGACGACGAGCAAGGUCAUACCGGACAGCCUCUUUGAGGUACCGACGGCCGUGAUGCAGACGGCGAUGAGGCCAAGAAAUGUCUCAAGCGGCAUAUCAUUGUCUUGGGACCCUGAGCCCCAACCCAACAAUCCAUCGCCAUGGUACAUCUUCAUCAUGCACUUCUCUGAGCUAGAGUUCCUCCUGUUCAAUGUCACACGUGAGUUCUCAAUCAACCUCGACAACCAGCCAUGGCACCCAGAUAACGUCACACCGAAAUACCUCUAUGGAGUCGCCAUCUACAAUAGCGCCCCCUCCCGGAAGAGCCGCUACGACAUAUCCAUCAUUCCCACCGUCAGAUCAACGCAACCUCCUAUCAUCAACGCUAUUGAAAGGUACACCGUCGUCACCAUCACCAACCUUGGCACCGACUCCCUGGAUGUGUCUGCGAUCAUGGCAAUCAAGGUGAAGUAUCAGGUGCAUAGAAACUGGUUUGGCGACCCGUGCGGUCCAGAGACUGUUAUGGUGUGGGACAGGUUGACAUGUAGCUACGCCAGUGCAAGCCCCGCAAGGAUUAUACGCUUAGACUUGUCCUUGAGAGGUCUGAACGGUGAUAUCUCAUCUUCUUUCACCAAUCUCAAAGCUAUCCAGUACUUGAAUCUAUCAAACAAUAACUUGGUAGGAUCAAUUCCAGAUGCCCUUUCACAGUUAACUUCAUUGACAGUUCUAGAUUUGUCAUACAACCAGCUCAAUGGAGCAAUCCCAUCUAGACUUCUCAAAAGAGUCGAAGACGGCUCAUUGAAUCUAAGAUAUGGCAACAAUCGAGACCUUUGCGUCAAUAACAAUUCAUGUCGGCUAGAACCUAAACGGAAGAGCAAUCUGGCCAUAUACAUUGUCGUCCCUGUGGUUGUGUCCAUGAUAGUGGUGAUAAUAGUGGUAGUACUCUUGUGCUCUCUACGACGGAAGAGACGAGGAUCAAUGAAUAACUUUGUGGAGCCACAUAAUGAAGCCACGACGAGCUAUGCGUCGGGAAACAAUGCUCAUAGGGACAAUUUUUCACUACAUCAACUUGAGAGUCGCCGGUUCACGUAUGAAGAGCUCAAGAUGAUAACAAAUAACUUCCAACGAAUACUUGGCCAGGGAGGGUUCGGGUACGUCUAUGAUGGUUUUCUGGAGGACGACACUCAGGUGGCGGUAAAGUUACGGUCUCAUUCUUCCAGUCAAGGUUUCAAGGAGUUCCUUGCAGAGGCUCAUAUUUUAACACGGAUUCAUCACAAAAAUCUUGUCACCUUGAUUGGUCACUGCAAGGAUGGGGAGUACAUGGCACUCGUCUACGAGUAUAUGUCAGAGGGAACCCUGCAUGAGCAUCUUGAAGGAAGCAAACACAAUGGAGGAUGUUUAUCAUGGAUACAAAGACUCCGAAUCGCACUUGAUUCUGCACAAGGGUUGGAGUAUCUACACAAGGGAUGCGACCCACCUCUAAUUCACAGGGAUGUAAAGGCCUCCAAUAUCCUCUUGAACGCGAGGUUAGAGGCUAGGAUUGCUGAUUUUGGCUUAUCCAAGACUUUCAAUGGCGGCAAUGACUACGUGUCCACAAAAACACUUGUUGGCACACCCGGAUAUGUCGACCCCGAGUACCAUGCAACUAUGCAGCUAACAGCCAAGAGCGACGUGUACAGUUUCGGUGUCGUGCUACUGGAAAUGGUCACAGGGAAACCCGCCGUAGUGAGGGAGGCGACACCCAUCAGCAUCAUUCAUUGGUCACGACAACGGAUGGCGCGGGGCAACAUUGAAAGUGUGGUUGAUGCACGUAUGUGUGGCAUUUACGAUAUCAACAGUGUGUGGAAAGUGGUGGAAAUUGCACUCAAGUGCACUGCCUAUGUGUCACCGCAACGACCCACCAUGACCGACGUGGUGGAUCAGCUGCAAGAAUGCAUCGAGCUCGAGGAAGGCCGCACCAUUGAAGUUGGGAACAAUGGCUUCUAUAAAAGUGGUGGCAGCGACAACCCGGACUUGAGUUAUAGUGCUUAUAUAGCUGACCAAUCCAGUGAUAGUACUGCAUUUCAGAUUGAACACGACGUCAAGAGGGUGCAUUCAAUGCCCACCGGUCCUGCUACACGUUGA